UCAGGACGAACGCUGGCGGCGUGCCUAACACAUGCAAGUCGAGCGAGGAGAUUCCUCGGGAUGAUCCUAGCGGCGGACGGGUGAGUAACACGUGGGCAACCUGCCUCAUAGAGAGGAAUAGCCUUCCGAAAGGGAGAUUAAUACCUCAUAACAUUGCAGUUUCGCAUGGAACAGCAAUUAAAGGAGUAAUCCGCUAUGAGAUGGGCCCGCGGCGCAUUAGCUAGUUGGUGAGGUAACGGCUCACCAAGGCGACGAUGCGUAGCCGACCUGAGAGGGUGAUCGGCCACAUUGGGACUGAGACACGGCCCAGACUCCUACGGGAGGCAGCAGUGGGGAAUAUUGCACAAUGGGGGAAACCCUGAUGCAAGCAACGCCGCGUGAGUGAUGACGGCCUUCGGGUUGUAAAGCUCUGUCUUCAGGGACGAUAAUGACGGUACCUGAGGAGGAAGCCACGGCUAACUACGUGCCAGCAGCGGC
rnacentral:rRNA from 1 species